rnacentral:rRNA from 1 species
UUAAUGGAGAGUUUGAUCCUGGCUCAGGACGAACGCUGGCGGCGUGCCUAAUACAUGCAAGUCGAGCGAGGGUCUUCGGACCCUAGCGGCGGACGGGUGAGUAACACGUAGGCAACCUG